GAUAAAUCAUCUUACUAACUGAAUUCAUCUGAUUUAUUUCUGCCACCAGUUGUGUGAGCAAGGCUUAGCUAUGGAACUUUGACCACCUGUACUGAGUCUCUGUAUUGGAGAUUCAAGCAGAGACUAACAAGAUAAGAAAAAACAAGAACACCAACAUAACCUAAAUAAAUCAUCUUACCAACUGGAUUCAUCGGAUUUAUUUCUGCCACCUGUU